GCAGGCCAGCCAAGGCGGGGGAGAGAGAGGGCGAGCAGGCCGCGCUGCCGCUGGAGCCCGUUGCCAGGCGGGCCCGGCCUGGAUGCCAUGGCAAGCAAGCAAGCAAACACACAAACACUUGGGCUUCUUGCGAGGCUUCGGCCUCACCCGCCUGGGCCGGAAUGCAAGCGCCUUCCCUCCUCCUCCUCCUUCUCUUGCAAAACGCCCCCGGGUUGCCCGGAGCAGGGAGCGCCCAGCUUGACUGCACCUGCAAAACAAAACAAAACAAAACAGCCAGAACAAAAGCGCUCCGCUACGAAGGACUGGAGAGUGGCAGGGAAGCGAAGCUGAAGCGAAGCUGAAGCGGGGCCUCUCCUUCCUCCUUCCCUCCCUCUCUCUUCCCCGAAGGUCUGCGUGCCCUUCUCUUUCGCAGCGGCAGCUUGACCCUUCCUGAGACCAAAGGCCCCACACAUGUGUGAGCAACUUGAGUCGCUGGCUAUGAAAGCCUUCGACAACAAAUCAAACCGCCUUGCCUUCUUCUGAGGAGCCUCUGCUUGAAGCCUCGCCUCUCGCUGCGCCUCCUUCCUCCAAAGGUUUCCUCCCCAGGAAAAGCCUGAGGCGAGGAUUUUCUCCGGGAGUCUCCUCUUGGCGAGCUUGUGGCCGGGCUCCAGCGAUGCCAGAGGAAGAAAAAAGAGGCCGAGGCGGGCCAGGGACGCUGCUACUCCUGCUGUUGCCCUCCCUUCUUCCUUCCCUCCCUCCUCAAACCGGUUCAGCCGGAGAGAUCACCCGUCUCACCGGCUUAGCGUGGGAUCUGGCACUUCCCGAGCUCAUUGGCAUUCCUCUUCCCAAGCGCUGGGGCCUCGCCUGUCGAUUGAAUAAUCCGCUCUAGCGGGUUCAGUGGUGCGAGCGUUUGGGGGGGGGGGGCAUUCCCCCUUUGAGACACGCUUGCUUGCAAGUUGGUCUGGAAUAAAUGCAUGAAGACCCAAGCAGAUCAACCUGGAAGCCAGACAAGGUGGACUUUUCCUUGAGUAAGCAUGCCUAGGGGUGCAUCUGCACUAUGGGAUUAAGGUUCGACCCCACUUGAACUGCCUUGGCUCAAUGUUUUGGGAUCCUGGGGUUUGCAGUUUGUUGGGGCACCAGAAUUCUUUGGUGGAAAAGGCAUAUGACCUUGUAACUUUACAGUUCCCAUGAUGCCAUAGCACUGAACCUUGGCAGUUCAGGUGGGGUCAAGCACAUUAAUUCUACAGUGUAGAUGCCGCCUAGGAUUGCAUCCUACUGCAUGCUACACAAAUGUAUGUGGAUGUGAUGUGUAUCUUAUUCUGGGGUCUUUAAUCCAGAAGGAGAUUGCCAUUGCCUUCUGGGAAAGCUAGGUGAUUGUGCCUCGCCCUAAGGUUACUUGGAGGGAUCUAAACUCUUGGCUCCUGGGGUCAGAGUCCAGCAGUUCUCUCUGACUUGAAUUAACUCCCUGGAUAAACAAUGGGGCUUUCUUCGAAGUAAACAACGUUUAGAAUUGCAACCUUAGGGCUGAGUUAUGUUAUCACUCCCCACCAGAGCAGACUCCCUGAAUCAAUGGGAGUUACUUACACAGUGCUUCAGCUUUCAAUACUGGAUUCAACUGGCCUACUCUCUCUGGAACCCAGGAGUAAGAGAGAGGCAUUUUGUCAUUGUGGCCUACUUUGUGUCACUUUGUUGGAAAUAGCAACUUUCUACAAGCCUCCUAUACUAGUUAUUUGUCAUGUACAGUAGAGUCUCACUUAUCCAACAUAAACAGGCCGGCAGAACGUUGGAUAAGUGAAUAUGUUGGAUAAUAAGGAGGGAUUCAGGAAAAGCCGAUUAAACAUCAAAUUAGGUUAUGAUUUUACAAAUUAAGCACCAAAACAUCAUGUUAUAUAACAAAUUUGACAAAAAAAGUAGUUCAAUACACAGUAAUGCUAUGUAGUAAUUACUGUAUUUACGAAUUUAGCACCAAAAUAUCACAAUGUAUUGAAAACAUUGACUACAAAAAUGCGUUGGAUAAUCCAGAACGUUGGAUAAGUGAGACUCUACUGUAUAUAAUUGUAAUUGCUUACUAUAUUGUAUGUAUAUAUUGAUAUGCAGUUUUCCCUUAACUCUAUGUUGUUUGAGGUUGUGGGAGGGAUUGCAGACCAUGUGACCAGAUCUGCGACUUUUCAGAUUAAGACUCCAUUUUAGAAGCCAGUUUGCAUCAGAAGCAGUGGAGCCUCCGAAGGCCUAGGGGAUAAAAGCCUGUGACUUGAAGGUUGGGUUGCUGACCUGAAAGCUUCCAGGUUCGAAUCCCAGGGGGAGAGCGUGGAUGAGCUCCCUCUAUCAGCGCCAGCUCCAUGCGGGGACAUGAGAGAAGCCUCCCACAAGGAUGGUAAAACAUCAAAACAUCCGGGCGUCCCCUGGGCAAUAUCCUUGCAGACGGCCAAUUCUCUCACUCCAGAAGCAACUCUGGUUGCUCCUGACAUGAAAAAAUAAAAUCAGAAGCAGUACAGUUCAGAAGUCAGUCAGUACAGUAUGCAAUUGUCAGUGUUAGUGUAAAGUCAGUGUCAGUAUGCUGCAGUGUAUAGUCAGACUGUAUUGAGUCAAUGUUCAGUAAUGUAUUAGUCUGAAGAGUGUUAGUCUAUAUGCAACAAAGAAAACACAAACAGAAUGCUUUAGAGACCUUACUGUUUAAACUAUCAACCAAUAAGAAAUCUACCUGUAUGCUGAACACAUGAAGUUUGUAAGUAAAUCAAAUAUGUUACUUUUAACAAAGAGUGUUUAUUUUUAGUCUCUUGAGAGCAUGAUUUAAAAACCAAUAUAUUGUAGGGGAGAGUAGAUCUUUUUGGGCAACUGAAAUAACACUUCUGAAGAUCUGCUAUCUAUUUUGUGCAUUGGCAUAUAUUUGUUCUUAACUGUUCAGAGAGAUAACCAGGUAUAUCAGUCUAACAACUGAGAAGCUUACUUUGCCUUGCAUGAAUACUAGUGGAUAUUUACAACUAAGGAGAAGAUUCACUCAAACGAGUAUUUAGUUCUUCUCAGAAAGAUCGUCCUUUCCAAAAAGCUUAUGAUUGUUCCAAAUAAUAGGGAGGCCUCACAGUCUUAGACCUGGCUCUGGAAGAAAGCCAGUGAAAUGGCCUGGAUAGGGCCCUGGGGAGAAUGUCCAGGCCUUUCCACAGCCACUUCACUGCUGCCUACUUCACCAUAAGGUUUAUUGGUAAAUAGUGGGGCACAGAAGUACCUCCUAACACUUACUUUGGGCCAGCUUGCCUGGAGGCUUCUGCUUGGGUAUCCCUCCCAAUUUAAACGGGGAAGGUAGGGGAAUAUCUAGAAAUACCAGGUGCCUCUGAUCUUGGAAGCUAAGCAGGGUCAGCCUGGUUAAGUGAGCAGAAAACUGUAAUGUUCUGAAUCAGUGUCCCAAAUAACCUCAGGAACAGGUCUAAAAACCAAGACACCAGUAAUAUUUGUUGUUGUUGAGCUGUGUUAUAUUUCAGAGGAGAGUCUGGAAAAAUCACCUCUAUCUCUUGCCCAAUAAAAUCCUGAAAUCCAUGUGGUGACGGGCUAUUUGAAGACUGGGCUUCUUUGGAGAGGCCAAGCGCAAUGCUGCUCCACACAGGAAGUCCCUCUGUUUGCAGGAGGCCUUCCGACUGAACCCAGCCAUAUUCGACUCGACCCUGUCCUUCCCUCUUCUCUCUCUGCCGGAACCGCGAGGCUGCAAAUCGAUUUCCGUUGCUAAUCCAUAGACAUCAACGCUAAUUCCAGCAGGGGAGGGUUACGGGGGCUCCUAGUGACACUUUCCUCAUUGAGCCCGUUGGCUUCAACGAGGCUUGACUGUCACCUCGGCCGUUUUGUGUGGUUGUGGUCCUCUUUCAAUCCCUCAGUCGUGAGUGAGAGAGAGGAUCUGAGCGGUUUCGAUCCACACUGGCUGAAUUCAAGGCUGAAGAUUGGCAGCAUCAAGGCUGAUUUGAGAGAAGGGGGGACAUUUGUCUGGUAUUUUUUUUUUCCUUUCAAUGUGUAGGAAAGAUCGGGUUUGUGGAUGGGAACCGUCCUGGAUUUGUAAUGUUGUCAAUAGUAACCUCCCAAGCCUUUCACUAUUAAUUUGUUAAUGUGUAUAUGCUAGCCUCUAUUCUAUGUUGAUUUGUCAGUUUGACUGUACCCCUUUGGUGUGGAAAGGGUUAUAGAUAUGUGAUUAUACAGAGCAUGUUGAGACUCAGAACUCCAUUUUUCAUUCAGUCUGCUCUACACCUCAUUGGAAGUGGAUGUGUCUGCAUCACACCUCAGUGGUGCAUGCUGCUGUUUGGACAUACAGAAUAAUGACUUAUGGACUUUUAGUGAAUACAAUUAUACCUAAAGACUAUGGACUAUAUACCUUGUGUACUCAACACAGAGAGAAGACGACCCAGACUGAUGUAUGGAUAAAGUACGAGGAUAUUGGAUGAACGGAUUUUAAGCAUAUGUUUUAUAUUUUAUACUGUAUUUCACUGUUUGUAAUAGAUUUUAUAUGCUGUUUGUUUUUAAUGAUGUGUCGGCAUCAAAUUGUUCCCUGAGUCCCUUCGGGUGAGAAGGGCGGGAUAGAAAUAUUGGAUAUAAAUAAAUAAACUACAUCCUAUCUAUAACUGAACUUUAA